rnacentral:rRNA from 1 species
CCGGAGCUAACGCGUUAAGUCGACCGCCUGGGGAGUACGGCCGCAAGGUUAAAACUCAAAUGAAUUGACGGGGGCCCGCACAAGCGGUGGAGCAUGUGGUUUAAUUCGAUGCAACGCGAAGAACCUUACCUACUCUUGACAUCCAGAGAACUUAGCAGAGAUGCUAUGGUGCCUUCGGGAACUCUGAGACAGGUGCUGCAUGGCUGUCGUCAGCUCGUGUUGUGAAAUGUUGGGUUAAGUCCCGCAACGAGCGCAACCCUUAUCCUUUGUUGCCAGCGGUUCGGUCGGGAACUCAAAGGAGACUGCCAGUGAUAAACUGGAGGAAGGUGGGGAUGACGUCAAGUCAUCAUGGCCCUUACGAGUAGGGCUACACACGUGCUACAAUGGCAUAUACAAAGAGAAGCGACCUCGCGAGAGCAAGCGGACCUCAUAAAGUAUGUCGUAGUCCGGAUCGGAGUCUGCAACUCGACUCCGUGAAGUCGGAAUCGCUAGUAAUCGUGGAUCAGAAUGCCACGGUGAAUACGUUCCCGGGCCUUGUACACACCGCCCGUCACACCAUGGGAGUGGGUUGCAAAAGAA